UACGUAGGGUGCAAGCGUUGUCCGGAAUUAUUGGGCGUAAAGAGCUCGUAGGCGGUCUGUCGCGUCUGCUGUGAAAACUCGGGGCUUAACCCCGGGCCUGCAGUGGGUACGGGCAGACUAGAGUGCGGUAGGGGAGACUGGAAUUCCUGGUGUAGCGGUGAAAUGCGCAGAUAUCGGGAGGAACACCGGUGGCGAAGGCGGUUCUCUGGGCCUUACCUGACGCUGAGGAGCGAAAGCCAGGGGAGCGAACGGG
rnacentral:rRNA from 1 species